GGUUUUCUUGGUAUUUGAACAUAUAUUGCUUUUGAUUGAAUUGAGUUGAAGGGAAUUAUUGACGGGUCCAUUAGGAUUUGUGAAAAUUUGGUUUUCUUGCUUGAAAAUUAUUGACGGUUCUGAAGCACCAGCACUUUGUCUUAGGAUUUGUGCUCUCAGAAUCAUUAACGGGUCCAUUAGGUACACUCUUUUUUGCCUUCUCCAUAGGAAGCUCUGAUAAUCGAGACUCUGC
rnacentral:lncRNA from 1 species